rnacentral:rRNA from 1 species
UCCAGACUCCUACGGGAGGCAGCAGUGGGGGAUAUUGCACAAUGGGGGAAACCCUGAUGCAGCGACACCGCGUGGGUGAGGAAGCGCUUCGGCGUGUAAAGCCCUAUCAGUGGGGAAGAAAAAGGACGGUACCCAAAGAAGAAGCACCGGCUAAAUACGUGCCAGCAGCCGCGGUAAUACGUAGGUGGCAAGCGUUGUCCGGAUUUACUGGGUGUAAAGGGCGUGCAGCCGGAGAGACAAGUCAGAUGUGAAAUCCACGGGCUCAACCCGUGAACUGCAUUUGAAACUGUUUCCCUUGAGUGUCGGAGAGGUAAUCGGAAUUCCUUGUGUAGCGGUGAAAUGCGUAGAUAUAAGGAAGAACACCAGUGGCGAAGGCGGAUUACUGGACGAUAACUGACGGUGAGGCGCGAAAGCGUGGGGAGCAAACAGGAUUAGAUACCCGCGUA